ensembl:lncRNA
CAGUGGUAACUGAAUCAUCAUAAUGGUAUAUUGAUUGAUACUUUCUGUUACGGGUGUAAACUUCUAACAGUGUGGAAUACCACAAGAGAGUCUAAUUUGGAGGGCAUGCUCAAGCUAAUGUGCCAUUCCAUUGCAUUGUAAAUCUGUGGUGGAUCCAGAGCUUAAUCCAGGAACACUGGGCACCAACCAGGAACAUGCAAGAGAACCAGAGAACCGAAAGGAAACCCACAUGGAUACACAGAGAAAAUACGAAAUGUCAC